rnacentral:rRNA from 1 species
UACGGAGGGGGCUAGCGUUGCUCGGAAUUACUGGGCGUAAAGGGCGCGUAGGCGGCCUUGCAAGUCAGGCGUGAAAGCCCCGGGCUCAACCCGGGAAAUGCGCUUGGGACUGCAGGGCUCGAGGUCGGGAGAGGGUAGUGGAAUUCCCAGUGUAGAGGUGAAAUUCGUAGAUAUUGGGAAGAACACCAGUGGCGAAGGCGGCUACCUGGACCGAAUCUGACGCUAAGGCGCGAAAGCGUGGGGAGCAAACAGG